AAGUCGUAACAAGGUUUCCGUAGGUGAACCUGCGGAAGGAUCAUUAACACGUAUCCAACGUUAAACCCCCCGUGAACCUUCAGAGCGUUCUUGCCGCCCGUGACAAUCAGCAAUCCUGGUAAAUCAAGUGGGAAUAUCCGUAUUGAUUCAGGACCUCUGCUGUCAUGUGUUAGGGAAACCAUAGCGGCAAUUGAGAGCUUUUAUCGUUAGUUUGGCGUCCUGGCCGGGCGAGUGAAAGUGUCGCUAGACGGUUUCUAGGGUAAGGCUUCGCCAUCGCUGGAGGCUCACCACGUAGCCGGCGGACAAACUACAGGGCUAUAUGCCCCCUAAUGACGACCAAGUUAAAUAGGGCCUCUGUCACAUAGCAAGUGCGCCGUGCCAGAGGAAAAGUACAACUGUUAACAAUGGAUAUCUUGGUUCUC
rnacentral:misc_RNA from 1 species